GAUGAACGCUGGCGGCGUGCUUAACACAUGCAAGUCGAACGGUGAAGGCGGAGCUUGCUCUGCUGGAUCAGUGGCGAACGGGUGAGUAACACGUGAGCAAUCUGCCCCUGACUCUGGGAUAAGCGCUGGAAACGGCGUCUAAUACUGGAUACGAGCUGCGAAGGCAUCUUCAGCAGCUGGAAAGAACUUCGGUCAGGGAUGAGCUCGCGGCCUAUCAGCUUGUUGGUGAGGUAACGGCUCACCAAGGCGUCGACGGGUAGCCGGCCUGAGAGGGUGACCGGCCACACUGGGACUGAGACACGGCCCAGACUCCUACGGGAGGCAGCAGUGGGGAAUAUUGCACAAUGGGCGAAAGCCUGAUGCAGCAACGCCGCGUGAGGGACGAUGGCCUUCGGGUUGUAAACCUCUUUUAGCAGGGAAGAAGCGAAAGUGACGGUACCUGCAGAAAAAGCGCCGGCUAACUACGUG
rnacentral:rRNA from 1 species